GUACGUACGUCGUCGUAUAGGGGGGGGUCGAAAGUUUUCCGAAAGGGAAAAGGCCAAUUAACGCCCAUUAGCCCUUACGGGCGAAAAGCAGGGGACCUUCGGGGCCCUUGUCGGCUAUCAGAUGAGCCUAGUCGGGAUUUAGCUAUUGGGUUGAGGGUAAUGGGCUCNCCAAGGCUGCGAUCCGUAACUGGUCUUGAGAGGAUGAUCAGUCACAUGGAACUGAGACAGCAGANCUACGAGCAGCAUGGANAUGCAUGGNAAGCNGAUCANCAUCNCCUCUCGUGUGUAGACGUCUCCGACCUCGUAACGCGCGUACGUCGGACGGAGGACGAGACGUUAAUACCUCGUCUGUUUGACGUUACCGACAGAAUAAGCACCGUCUAACUUCGUGCCAGCAGCCGCGGUAAUACGAAGGGUGCAAGCGUUAAUCGGAAUUACUGGGCGUAAAGCGCGCGUAGGUGGUUUGUUAAGCAGGAUGUGAAAUCCCCGGGCUCAACCUGGGAACUGCGUUCUGAACUGGGUGACUAGAGUGUGUCAGAGGGAG
rnacentral:rRNA from 1 species